AGCAGCCGCGGUAAUUCCAGCUCCAAUAGCGUAUAUUAAAGUUGUUGCAGUUAAAAAGCUCGUAGUUGAAUUUCGGGAUCAUCAGGUUGGUCGUGCCUCUGGUAUGUACUUGCUUCGAUGGUCCCUCCUUCUUGAAGAACCGUAAUGCCAUUAAUUUGGUGUUGCGGGGAAACAGGACUGUUACUUUGAAAAAAUUAGAGUGUUUAAAGCAGGCAAUCGCUUGAAUACAUUAGCAUGGAAUAAUGAAAUAGGACGUUCGAUCCUAUUUUGUUGGUUUCUAGGAUUGACGUAAUGAUUAAUAGGGAUAGUUGGGGGCAUUAGUAUUCAAUUGUCAGAGGUGAAAUUCUUGGAUUUAUUGAAGACUAACUACUGCGAAAGCAUUUGCCAAGGAUGUUUUCAUUAAUCAAGAACGAAAGUUAGGGGAUCGAAGACGAUCAGAUACCGUCGUAGUCUUAACCAUAAACUAUGCCGACUAGGGAUCGGAUGAUGUUAAUUUUUAAUGACUCAUUCGGCGCCUUAC
rnacentral:rRNA from 1 species